UACGGAGGGGCUAGCGUUGGUUCGGAAUUACUGGGCGUAAAGCGCACGUAGGCGGACUGUUAAGUCGGGGUGAAUCCUGGGCUCAACCUCAGAAUUGCCUCCGAUACUGGCAGUCGUCGAGUGCGGGAGAGGUGGAGUGGAAUUCCCAGUGUAGAGGUGAAAUUCGUAGAUAUUGGAAGAACACCAGUGGCGGAAGGCGGAGCUCACUGGCCCGUAACGUGACGCUGAGGUGCGAAAGCGAUGG
rnacentral:rRNA from 1 species